AGAGUUUGAUCAUGGCUCAGGAUGAACGCUAGCGGCAGGCUUAAUACAUGCAAGUCGAGGGGCAGCGCGGGUAGCAAUACCUGGCGGCGACCGGCAAACGGGUGAGGAACAUGUACGCAACCUUCCUUUAACUGGAGGAUAGCCCAUCGAAAGAUGGAUUAAUACUCCGUAACAUACUGAUAAGGCAUCUUAUUAUUAUUAUAGCUCCGGCGGUUAAAGAUGGGCGUGCAACUGAUUAGAUAGUUGGUGAGGUAACGGCUCACCAAGUCAGCGAUCAGUAACUGGUGUGAGAGCACGACCAGUCACACGGGCACUGAGACACGGGCCCGACUCCUACGGGAGGCAGCAGUAAGGAAUAUUGGUCAAUGGACGCAAGUCUGAACCAGCCAUGCCGCGUGGAGGAUUAAGGCCCUUGGGUUGUAAACUCCUUUUAUCUGGGAAGAAAUGCAUUUUUUCUAAAGUGCUUGACGGUACCAGAGGAAUAAGCACCGGCUAACUCCGUGCCAGCAGCCGCGGUAAUACGGAGGGUGCAAGCGUUAUCCGGAUUUACUGGGUUUAAAGGGUGCGUAGGCGGAUAGGUAAGUCAGUGGUGAA
rnacentral:rRNA from 1 species